UAAGAAUGCCUACCUCAGGAUAAUUGAGAGGUUCAGAUGAUAUUUUUCAGAGUGCUGAUGUUACUUUGGACAGUGGUUUGGCUUGAUCUGUUUUGUUCCCACUCAUACAUCAUCUCCAAGGUAGAAACUACAAGCAAAGUGUCUGACAUGGUCCAGCUCCACAUCAAAGCGUCUAACUGAUGGGCUGCGAGGAAAGCAGAGCCCGUCCUGGUUAUAGUUUCCAAAAACAUUCCUGGGCUCAGAAGUGCUGACGAGCCACGUUGUGUGCACCAUCAAACUCUAAUCCUUGUCUUUUCCUUCAUAUGUGGGCACCUUGAGAAAUCAAGGUGUAUACAUGUCCUGCCUACUGGCAAGGCGACUUCCGGGCACAGCCCCACAGUGGAACUUGCUUAUUCUGGGACAUUUAGCCUGUCAGCUGCAGUCUUCCCACAGGGCUCCUGCAGCCUUCUUCUCUGUUCUCUGCUCACAUGCAAGGUUUGCCUUUAAACCCACAGAUAUGAAUACUUACUAGAGUGGGGGUUCCUCCAUAUCCUCACCUCCAUAUGUCAACAUACAGGGUUUAAAGCAGUGCACAUUUGAGCCACCUGCUGGGAGGUAGACAACCACGGUUUUGUAAGCAUUGAUUGCCUUCUCUCUCUCUCUCUCUCUCUCUCUCUCUCUCUCUCUCUCUCUCUCUCUCUCCUCUCUGACAGGGUCUCACUCUGUUGCCCAUUAUUAAUAGGAGAGCAGUAGUGUGAUCAUGGCUCAGGCAGCCUCGAACUCCCAGACUCGAGAUCCUCCUGCCUCAGCCUCUUUAGUAGCUAAAACUACACUGCAUUUGGCUGAUUUUUCCUUUUUUUUUUUUUUUUUUGUAGAAACAGGG
rnacentral:lncRNA from 1 species